rnacentral:rRNA from 1 species
CCCUUAGAUGUUCUGGGCUGCACGCGCGCUACACUGAAGCUAUCAACACGUUUUCCCUCCCUGAGAAGGGCGGGUAACCUUUUGAAUCAGCUUCGUGGUAGGGAUCGGGGCUUGCAAUUGUUCCCCGUGAACCAGGAAUUCCUAGUAGACGCGAGUCAUAAGCUCGCAUCGAUUAAGUCCCUGCCCUUUGUACACACCGCCCGUCGCUACUACCGAUUGAACGUUUUAGUGAGGCAUUUGGACCGACGCAUAUCAGUUUAACCGCUGGUUUGUGUUGGAAAGACUUCCAAACUUGAGCGUUUAGAGGAAGUAAAAGUCGUAACA